CGCAUAUAUAUUACUGAGGUAUUACAAAGUAAGAGUCUCUGAAGACGAUGCACGCAGAUUGUGUACGUGUACACGGAGUUAGUGUAAAGUGUACAAUUAUUGGCAACUACUUAUUUAUCGAUCUACCCCCGUACUACACUUAAUUCUCUAUAACCCAAUUUUUCAUCUUGUCCUUAAGUUUUAGUUCAUGGGUCGUAACUCUGUCAUCGGACCAACCGAUUCGCUUGGUUCUAUAGGCAUGUCAACCCACCUGACAUUUUCAAAUGUAUGCUGCGACAUUGAACGUAGAUGGUUGGAGAAUCUACGGUGCGAGACGAACGUAUUGUUCCGCCAUAAUCUAUUGUUUAAUAUAC